GACGAACGCUGGCGGCGUGCCUAAUACAUGCAAGUUGAGCGCUGACGGUUGGUACUUGUACCAACUGGAUGAGCAGCGAACGGGUGAGUAACGCGUGGGGAAUCUGCCUCUUAGCGGGGGACAACAUCUGGAAACGAAUGCUAAUACCGCAUAAUAACUUUAAACACAAGUUUUAAGUUUGAAAGAUGCAAUUGCAUCACUCAAAGAUGAUCCCGCGUUGUAUUAGCUAGUUGGUGAGGUAAAGGCCCACCAAGGCGGUGAUACAUAGGCGACCUGGGGAGGAGGACGGCCAAAAUGGGACCGGGACAAGGGCCAAAAUCCCUCGGGGAGCAACAGGAGGGGAAUUUUGGAAAAGGGGGGAAGGCUGAACGAAGAAAGCCGGGGGAGUGAAGGAGGUUGUCGGGUCGGAAAACUCUGUUGGUAGGGAAGAAAGUUGGUGAGAGUGAAAAGCUCAUGAAGUGACGGUAACUACCCAGAAAGGGACGGCUAACUACGUG
rnacentral:rRNA from 1 species